rnacentral:miRNA from 1 species
UAUUAGGUUGGUGCAAAAGUAAUUGCAGUUUUUGCUAUAAAAGUAUGGCAAAAACCGCAUUUACUUCUACACCAACCUCAUAUUU